CACCACUCAAGCCUCGCUUGGUAUUGGGCAACGCGGUCCGCCGCGUGCCUCAAAUCGUCCGGCUGGGUCUUCUGUCCCCUAAGCGUUGUGGAAACUAUUCGCUAAAGGGUGUUCGGGAGGCUACGCCGUAAAACAACCCCACAUCUCAUG
rnacentral:misc_RNA from 1 species